UGAGGAAUAUUGGUCAAUGGGCGGAAGCCUGAACCAGCCAUCCCGCGUGAAGGAAGAAGGCCUUAUGGGUUGUAAACUUCUUUUCUGUUUGAAGAAUAAGCUUGUCGAGACAAGUGAUGCCGGUAGGACAGGAAUAAGCAUCGGCUAACUCCGUGCCAGCAGCCGCGGUAAUACGGAGGAUGCAAGCGUUAUCCGGAUUUAUUGGGUUUAAAGGGUGCGCAGGUGGUUUAAUAAGUCAGUGGUGAAAGUCUGCCGCUUAACGGUAGGAUUGCCAUUGAUACUGUUGGACUUGAAUAUGGAUGAGGUAGGCGGAAUGUGUAGUGUAGCGGUGAAAUGCUUAGAUAUUACACAGAACACCGAUUGCGAAGGCAGCUUACUAAUCCAUGAUUGACGCUGAGGCACGAAAGCGUGGGGA
rnacentral:rRNA from 1 species